rnacentral:rRNA from 1 species
AAUCCGGUUGAUCCUGCCGGACCUGACUGCUAUCGGAUUGGUACUAAGCCAUGCGAGUCAUUGCAGCAAUGCAAGGCGGACGGCUCAGUAACACGUAGUCAAUCUACCUUAUGGACGUGGAUAACCUCGGGAAACUGAGAAUAAACCACGAUAGAUCAUUAUGCCUGGAAUGGCUUAUGGUCGAAACAGUUUACUGCCAUAGGAUGGGACUGCGGCCUAUCAGCUUGUUGGUGA